AUGGGUACCAGUUUACACUAAGUAAAAUGAUAUUCACAUUCUAAAUAACUAAUUCAAAUAUUUAGCCAUGAUUAGAUUGUUUUCAUAGAAUGCAUCAAACUGAGAUAGAUUGGAGAUAAAUUUUCCAUCGAUGUCGAACAUACCCAAAAGUUGAUGGAUCCUAAAAAAAUUGCAAGUGUAACUAUAGCUUAGUUUAUGUAACCACAGGUAAUCGUAGCAAAGGAAUGCCUACAGGUGAAAAGGAUGUCAAACAGUUAUGAGAUCACUCUAGAUAGCCCCCAUUAGCAAUAUGUUGAUUAGGGCUUGAAGAAACGCUUGAACUCGCAAUGUUGACAUUUGUAGCACCUUUCAAAGGAUCCACAUUUGCUUUGCAAAUUUUCUUUACUUCCUCUUGGGCCUAUUUAAUUAGAAGACCGUUAACAUUAGUUUCCCUCACACCAAAGCUUCCGAACUUGUGAUAAAGUUGCCUAUUCCUACAUAAUAAGCAUUAGAAUUAUGGGACGAAAAAAGGCAUAAAACCAAAUUAUCCACUCAAGAACUGAAUCAUGGGGAGAAAUCAAGUGAUAUAAAAGUGUAUUUGAGAAAAUUACCAGAUAAGUAAUAGCAUCUUACAAAUGUUUGAAAUAAAUACAUCCAAUGAAGUUUAUUCCUGAUUUAGACUACAAUAAACACAAAAGCUUCACACCAAGUAGAUGUACAACUUACUUGCAUAAGAUCGAUUUGCCUUAUAAAGAGUAACAUAAAUUAUAAACUAUAAACAAAAGAUUGGGUUGCUGGACUCUUAGAAUAAAAGAGAGCAACAAAGCCCAUGAAUUAGUGCUUAAUAAAGAUCUUGAACAUUGAGAAAUCAAGGGGUCAAAUCCCCUGCAUAAUAAGUACAAGAUCCAGUUACUAUGAACACGAGGCUUGAAGAUCUAUUUCACAGCUGUAAUAAUGAACUUAGAGCACUUAUCUUAUACAUCUUUCUCUUUACUUUCAUUAACAAUUAUUAAAUUAAAAUGAAUUUGGUUGUCUCACCUUUAAAAACUUAAUGGUUUUUUCAUUAGCGGAGAAAAACGGCACCAUUAAAUACCAAAAAUUAACAUACAACUAAACUUGCUUCCAAGAAAUGGUUCCUUGUAAGAAAUUUUAAAAAACAAAAUUUGAGGCCUACGUUGUUAAUCAAUUUUCUACAAAUUGAAAAAGGAAAAAGAAAUAGAACCAAGAAAACAUGUUGGACUUUUUGAUAUCAAAUAAAUCCCGGGCUAUGAUGUUAACGCGGGUUAAUAUUAUUUUAUAGGCAUAGACUGAUGAAUGAAAUAAGUUCAAUAACCAAGUUCAUAAGCUACACCCUGCCCAAUUGUAUUCUCUCUUGGAUGGCUUGAAUCUUGGCCCGUUUAAGCCUCUUAAAGGUCCAACUUGAAGCCUAACCCUAAGCGUAUAUAUAUGGCUAUAAACCUAGCCACUUUCUUGUGAUGUUUUGUGUGGUUUUGUGAGAAAAAUAAAGGAAUCCCGGCUGUCCCCUUUGUGUGUGAAAAAGCAACCUCUAGAAAUGUCCAAAAUGCUAGUUUACUUUGUAUAAUUGGUGGUUCCUUCAUAGUAUACCUUUGUGGUGUCUUCUUAUAGGCUUUGUGGCCACAAAUCAUCAUCUUUUCUCGUCCUAUGUGGGUAAGAUUGAAUAGCAACUGAGGUGAAUUAGAUUGGCUGUGGUUUGGAGCCAAUUGGAUUGGUUGUUGGUAGAGAAAGAUACGUUGAACUAAGCCCGAAAAUCAUCGAUUUGAAGAUCAUUUGAGAGAGCUUCCACAACAAAUCAUAUACAAAAUAGACAGCUCCACCCACCAGGAGCACAGCUUUAACUUUUUGCUCUCAGUCACACGAUCUCCUCAGCUGUCUAAACCACUAUUAUCAUGAAUCCCACCAAAACCAUCUCAAAAAAUGAGUCAUCUGCAAUUAGGAGUUGCAUAGAUCGAGCCCAAACCCAUAACCAAAGAACUUGAUUUGAACCGACUCUAUCUAGUCUAAUUCCUAUUAUUUUUCGUGGAUUAUUCGUAACUGCAUAUACGAAGGAAGAAGAUCUAGCAUCCACCCUCCACUUUAUCUCUGGAUUAGCUAGCAGAUUAGGGUAAAAACAAAGCAUUUGAUGCAAGAGGAGGGAGAAGUUUUGGGAGAGUCAAUAGCUAGGGUAGUUGGAAGAAAUGUGUAAAAUUAAUAUAAGGAAAAAAAAACAAUAGUCAAACCAGUAAAUCCAAAAAAAAGGCAUGCGUUCCUAUAAACAGUGCCAAGAUGAAGUCCCUCUUUUAAUAUAUAUAUAUAUAUAUAUAUAGGGAUAUGUUUUUCAUUCAAUGGAAAUUUCAUAUAACCUUUGGGUUUUGACCAUAAUUACUUGACUGAAUAAUUUUGAGAUCCUGAAAACUUUUAUCUUGGUUUUCGAGUGACCGAACCUUUGAUGUUGUUUAAAUAGGAAGCAUUUUCUACAAUAUUCUCCAGACGUGUUGAACAAUAACUAUGAAAAAUUGAUCCAGCGUGACAGGCUUGUUUAUAAUUUGAGCCAACAACUCGAGAUAGUUAUAGAUUCACCAGAACAUGCUUCUACUUUUGAAAAUCCAAAAGAAUCCAGAGGUCGUGAAUUUGAUCGAGUGGCUGUCACUCAAGGAUAUUCUCCCUCUAGCUUCCAGGAUGUAGAAUUAACAGCAGUCACACAAUCACCUCCUUUAAGUUUCGGACAAAAUCUUAAUCAUCUGACUGCUGAACACGUGCCUGAAGAAACCUUGUCCUCUAGCUCUGGUCCAAUAUCAUUCAUCUUCAUUGUGAAUACAACAAUUUACUUAUCAACUUUUCUCCAUAUAGGAUGCAUUGCUGAAUGUUGAUCUUGCAAAUUAUUUAGCUGUAGUCGUAAUUUUGAACUCAUUUUCAACCAAAAUUUGAUAAUUGCAUUAUCUACUGUUACUAGUGAUGGCUAUUGUUGCAAUUGAACGGAUGGAAAUUGUGAGGAGCAUGGUUAUUUUGGAGCAAAGAAGCUGGGAACAACUGAAGGUUCAAGAUCUCCAUCCAUCUAUGUGGAUUUCUGAUCUAGAAAACAACAUUGGAAACUAUAUUUCAGAACAAACUACUGGAUUUGGGCCUUCAGACAAGACAUCAGAGUUUUGGGAUGUAAUGUAAAACAUUAAACAAGAUUUACUUAGUGACACCCAAAGCACGACCAUUUUGGACGAGAAAUCUCUAUUGAAAAAGGUAGAUUCUCUCUCCUUUCUCUUGCAAGAUCCUGCCACAGGUUCCUGUGCAAAAGUGGGAAAAGAAAAUUACGAUGAAAGUGCUAACUAUAGAAUAUAUGUUGCAUCUAAUCUCGCAAAUGAUUCAAUGAUGCAUGAAAAUAGCAGUGACGAUAUAUUUGCCUCUUUAAGAAAUCUAUAGGUCUGGUUUCGUUUGAUUGCCCAUGUCAACUUGCAGAUUUAUGAACUCACAAUUCAGGCACUAAUGUAUGUAUUCAGCCACGCUUCAAGGCUCAAAAUCUUGGAGAGAAGUCAUAACAAAUAAGCAAUUUCAAAUAUACAAGAAAAUCACAGAAAUAUACUAGUAGAGAAAAUUCAUAGCGAAUGUUUAAGUGCGUUUAGAAUGGGUACCAGUUGACAAUAAUUAAAAAUGAUAUUCACAUUCUAAAUAACUAAUUUAAAUAAUCAGUCGUGAUUAGAUUAUUUUCAUACAAUACAUCAAACUGAGAGAGAGUGGACAUAAAUUUUUCACUGAUGUCGAACACACCCAAAAAUUGAUGGAUCCUAAAAAAAUUGCAAACGUAACUACGGCUUAGUUUAAGUACAGCUACCAUUGUAAUCGUAGCAAGGGAAUGCCUACAGGUGAAAAGGAUGUGUUAAUUUUCAAACAGUUAUGAGAUCACUCUAGAUAGCCACCAUUAGCAAUAUGUCGAUUAGGGCUUGAAGAAAUGCUUGAACUGGCAACGUUGCCAUUUGUAGCACCUUUCAAAGGAUCCACAUUUGCUUCACAAAUUUUCUUUGCUUUCUCUUAGGCGUACUUAAUUAAAAGACCAUUAGCAUUAGUUUCCUUCUCACCGAAGCUUCCGAAUUUGCGAAGAAUUGGCCUAUUCCUAUAUACUAAGCAUUAAAAUUAUGGGGCAGACAAAGACAUAAAAAAUAAUUAUCCACUCAAGAACUGAAACCUGGUAAGAAGUCAAGUUAUAUAAAAUCGUAUUUAAGAAAAUCACCUGAUAAGUAAUACCAUCUUACAAAUACUUGAAGUAAAUACAUCCAAUGAAGUUUUUUCCUAAUUUAGACUACAAUAAACACAACAGCUUCAUACCAAGCAGAUGUACAACUUACUUGCAUAAGAUAAAUUUGCCUUAUGAAGAGAAACAUAAACCAUAAAGUACAAACAAAAGAUUAGGUUGCUGGACUCGUAGAAUAAAAGAGAACAACAAAGCCCAUGAAUUAGUGCAUAUAAGAUGUUGGAAGAAAAGAAAAAAGAAAAAUCCGGAGAAGAAAGAUCAUGAGCAUUGAGAAAUCAAGGCAUCAUAUCCCCUACAUAAUAAGUAAAAGACCCAGAUACUAUGAACGCGAGGCUCGAAGUUCUAUUUCACAGCUGUAACAAUGAACUUAGAACACUUAAGUUUACUUCCAUCUACAUUGAUUAAAUAAAAAUGAAAUUGGUAAUCUCACAUUUAAAAACUUAAUGGUUUUUUCAUUAGGGAAGAGAGAGUGCACCAUUAAAUACCAAAAAUUAACAUUCAACCAAACAUGCUUCCAAGAAAUGGUUCCUUGUAAGAAAAUUUUAAAAAACAAAAUUUGAGGCCUUCGUUAUUAAUCAAUUUUCUGCAAAAUUAAAAAAGGAAGAAGAAAUAGAACCAAGAAAACAAACACAAAACAGACAGCUCCAUCCACCACAAACACAGCUUUGACUUUCUACCCUCAGUCACACAAUCUCCUCAGCUGUCUAAACCACCAUUUUCAUGAAUCCUACCAAAACGUUCGCAAAUAUGUGGCAGCUGCAAUUGGGAUUGCAUAGAUCCACCGAACCCAAACCCGUAACCAAAGAACUCGAUGUGAACCGGUUGAAGACUUUGUCUAGUCUAAUUCCUAUUACUUUCCAUGAAUUAUUCGUAACUACAUCUAUGGUGGAAGAAGAUCUAGCAUCCGCUGCCUACUUUAUCUCUGAAUUAGUGGGCAGAUUAGGGCAAAAACAAAGGAUGUGACGCAAGAGGAGGGAGAAGUUUCGGGAGAGUCGACUGCUAGGGUUCGUCGGAAAAAAUGUGUAAAAAGAGUAUAAGAAAGGAAAAAAUUAAAAAUAGUCAAACCGGUAAAUCCCAAAAAAAAAAAAAAAAAAAAAAAAAGGCAUGCAUUCCUAUAUAUAACCAGUGCCAAGAUGAAGUCCCUCUUUUAAUAUAUAGAGAUAUGUUUUUCAUUCAAUGGAAAUUUCAUGUUAAAACCUCUGGGCAUGGACUAUAGUCCUUAUAUUUACUUGACUCAACAAUUUUGAGAUCCUGAAAACAUUGGUCCUGGUUUUUAAGUGACCAAACCUUUGAUGUUG
rnacentral:lncRNA from 1 species